AGCGAACGCUGGCGGCAGGCCUAACGCAUGCAAGUCGAACGAAGUCUUCGGACUUAGUGGCGGACGGGUGAGCAACACGUGGGAACGUGCCUUUAGGUUCGGAAUAACUCAGGGAAACUUGUGCUAAUACCGAAUGUGCCCUUCGGGGGAAAGAUUUAUCGCCUUUAGAGCGGCCCGCGUCUGAUUAGCUAGUUGGUGAGGUAAAGGCUCACCAAGGCGACGAUCAGUAGCUGGUCUGAGAGGAUGAUCAGCCACAUUGGGACUGAGACACGGCCCAAACUCCUACGGGAGGCAGCAGUGGGGAAUCUUGCGCAAUGGGCGAAAGCCUGACGCAGCCAUGCCGCGUGAAUGAUGAAGGUCUUAGGAUUGUAAAAUUCUUUCACCGGGGACGAUAAUGACGGUACCCGGAGAAGAAGCCCCGGCUAACUUCGUGCCAGCCGCCGCAGUAA
rnacentral:rRNA from 1 species